GAUGAACGCUGGCGGCGUGCCUAAUAGAUGCAAGUCGAGCGAACGGACGAGAAGCUUGCUUCUCUGAUGUUAGCGGCGGACGGGUGAGUAACACGUGGAUAACCUACCUAUAAGACUGGGAUAACUUCGGGAAACCGUAGCUAAUACCGGAUAAUAUUUUGAACCGCAUGGUUCAAAAGUGAAAGACGGUCUUGCUGUCACUUAUAGAUGGAUCCGCGCUGCAUUAGCUAGUUGGUAAGGUAACGGCUUACCAAGGCAACGAUGCAUAGCCGACCUGAGAGGGUGAUCGGCCACACUGGAACUGAGACACGGUCCAGACUCCUACGGGAGGCAGCAGUAGGGAAUCUUCCGCAAUGGGCGAAAGCCUGACGGAGCAACGCCGCGUGAGUGAUGAAGGUCUUCGGAUCGUAAAACUCUGUUAUUAGGGAAGAACAUAUGUGUAAGUAACUGUGCACAUCUUGACGGUACCUAAUCAGAAAGCCACGGCUAACUACGUG
rnacentral:rRNA from 1 species